rnacentral:rRNA from 1 species
CCUACGGGAGGCAGCAGUAGGGAAUCUUCCACAAUGGGCGAAAGCCUGAUGGAGCAACGCCGCGUGGGUGAAGAAGGUCUUCGGAUCGUAAAACACUGUUGUUAGAGAAGAAAGUGCUUGAGAGUAACUGUUCACGUUUCGACGGUAUCUAACCAGAAAGCCACGGCUAACUACGUGCCAGCAGCCGCGGUAAUACGUAGGUGGCAAGCGUUAUCCGGAUUUAUUGGGCGUAAAGGGAACGCAGGCGGUCUGUUAAGUCUGAUGUGAAAGCCUUCGGCUUAACCGGAGUAGUGCAUUGGAAACUGGGAGACUUGAGUGCAGAAGAGGGGAGUGGAACUCCAUGUGUAGCGGUGAAAGGCGUAGAUAUAUGGAAGAACACCAGUGGCGAAGGCGGCUCUCUGGUCUGUAACUGACGCUGAGGUUCGAAAGCGUGGGUAGCAAACAGGAUUAGAUACCCGUGUAGUC